UGGGGAAUUUUGGACAAUGGGGGCAACCCUGAUCCAGCCAUGCCGCGUGCGGGAAGAAGGCCUUCGGGUUGUAAACCGCUUUUGUCAGGGAAGAAACGGUCUGCGCUAAUACCGCGGGCUAAUGACGGUACCUGAAGAAUAAGCACCGGCUAACUACGUGCCAGCAGCCGCGGUAAUACGUAGGGUGCAAGCGUUAAUCGGAAUUACUGGGCGUAAAGCGUGCGCAGGCGGCUUUGCAAGACAGAUGUGAAAUCCCCGGGCUCAACCUGGGAACUGCAUUUGUGACUGCAUGGCUAGAGUGCGGCAGAGGGGGAUGGAAUUCCGCGUGUAGCAGUGAAAUGCGUAGAUAUGCGGAGGAACACCGAUGGCGAAGGCAAUCCCCUGGGCCUGCACUGACGCUCAUGCACGAAAGCGUGGGGAGCAAACA
rnacentral:rRNA from 1 species